rnacentral:lncRNA from 1 species
CCUUUUUGCUGCUGAUUUCCUGGGACUUCCCAUAUCUGCUUUGGCCUGUUUUGAUUUCUUUAGGCAUCUCUGUAUGCAUUCAUGCAAAUUACACAGAAAGCCUAAGGGUUUUAUUAAUCAGGGGCAGCUGACUCUGUAAUAAACAAGCCCAAAUUGAAAUGGCUUAACAGAAAUGAGCAAUUCAAAUGCCUGCUUUGCCGGUUGGUGACUCUUCCGAGCAUCUCUGUAGGUCACAGAGUUCCCAGCUUGCUCUUCCAUCCAGUUAGGGGAGGUUCUCAGGCACAAGCCCUAGGUCAUGUACUCUUGCCCAUUUCCCUGGCCUGGAACUUAGUCACCCAGUCCCAUAUCCCUCCAAGAGAAGCUGGAGAUGCCUGGCCCAGGAGUCAGAGGAAGUGAGGUUUGGAGGCAGGCCUCCACAUCCCUGCAUUAGAUGGCUGUUAACACUUGUUUUGCUGCCAGUGGUGAUGGAAAGGUCUGCCUGUGUUUCCUCCCCUGAUGUCACUUCAGUAAAGAGCCAGAGUGCUGCACAGAGGUCACAGGGCACUGACCCACCCACUGCAAGCUCAGUCAGCUCUGAGACCCUGCCACUCUCAUCAAGGCAAAGUGACCCACUCUCCCGGUUUCCAGUUCACCGACUUUGAAUUCGUCAACAGGACCCGUCCCACCACACACCCUCCUUGGUCAUCCGUGUUGCUCCAGCUGUUCCACUGGGAUCCACAGGGAAGGCCAGCCCUCACUGCUGGGAACUACCCCCACCCCCCACUUGCUGGCUCCCGAAAUCCCUUCCUUUCUCCUGUGGCCUGUGGUCAGUGCUACUACAGCUUCUCUGCCUUUGCUAUUGGUAGUGUUAGAGAAGCUUAACAAGGCUUCUCUGACUUGCCACCCUGAAUCUGAAUAUACUGGAAGUGCAUAGGAAAACCCUGGAAGGACAUGAAAGGGAGCUAGGGAGGGAACAGGCCACUGGAAGAGUAAGAUGAAGUGAAAGAGGUAUGACUCUAUGUGGCCUGCAGGUGGUGACACCAUAGGUAUCACCUGCCCGGAGAAGAGGGUGUGUCCUGGGCCAGGGGCUGGAGGCAGGCAGGGCCUAGUCUUCAAAACCCAAAACGCCAGAGUAUGACUUUGUUCUGGGAGUCAUAGAAAUGAGAAGGAAAUCGGGUUUGUAUUUUAGAAACUACUGCAGAGAUGAGGUGGAGGAAGGCUGGGACCAGACAUGGAAAAGAAAAGACCAUUGCAUCACAGAAAGCAGGAGAUGCUGAACCCCUGAACUCGGGCAGUGGCCAGAAGGCUGAGAGAAGGAGAUGGAUCACCAAGAUAAUAGAAAUAAUGUUCACUUGAACCUGGAGACCUACUGGAUACAGGGAAGAGCCAGGAAUGACUCAGAGAGUUCUGGUUCAGGCAACUCAGAGGAUUAUGUUGCUAUUCAUCAGGAAGAGACUGCAGGGAGGAGAAGCAGGUUUGGAGGGAGAAUAUGAGCUUCGGCUUGAACUUACUGCUUCUGACUUGCAAAAAUGAUAAAGGGCUGACUAAGGUUAAUAGUUUGAUCCAACAUGUGGGUCUAGGGCUCAAAAAACACAAUACAUGGGCGGGGGUUAGCCACAUGUGUGGUUGUGACUGCAAGCAUGGGUGAGAUUGUUCUGGGAGCACACAGAGAAACUAGGGCUGGAUUCAUGGGCCCCAUGCUAUUUGCAUAGCGAUGUAGCCAUCUGUCAUCCCUUAAUAACUGUGUGUGUGUGUGUGUGUGUGUGUGUGUGUGUGUGUGUGUGUAUGUAUGCAUGUGCGUGCACGUGUAUGUGCACUCUCCAGACGUCAGGGUUGGGUGUCUUCCACAAUCACUUCUUCACAUUAUUUUUGGUACAGGGUCUGUCACUGACCCUGGAGCUCACAAUUUCUGCUACCCUCACUAGCCAGAAAGCCCCUGGGAUCCUCUUUCACUGGCCUUAGAGCUAGGGUUACAAGCAUGUGCCACCACACGUUGUUUUUCUAUGGGUUCUGAGGAUCUGGAGUUGGGUCCCCAUGCUUGUGUGGCAAGUACUUGAUCCACCGAGCCAUCUCCCCAGCCAAAUUCUUUAGUAACAUUUGAGGUAGGACCCCACAAUUUCUCUGUGGCUGGGUCCUGAAAAUGAUGCAGUCAUUUCUAAGAUGAUAGGGACAAAACCAGUCCUGAAACUAUGCUAGGAAAGAUUCACCACACAGAGAAGUCCAGAGGCUGUUACAGAACCCUGUGCCAAGUGGGAGGGGAUGUUGGUGAUCAGGGGACAAAAAUGAGAGAGAGAAGGGCCCUGUGGGCAUCAUGACAUGAAGAAGGGUCAGUGACCUAGGAGGAGAUCUGGGCAUCUUCUCCACAACACUAUUUUAGGUAGAAAAGUAAUAAACAGCAUGCAAUAUGAGUGUGUAAAACCAACUGCAAAACUGAACUCUGGGGCUGAGAUGGCUCCAUGAGUAAAGAGUUUUCAAUGCAAACAUGAGACCUGAGUUCGAUCACAGAAUAAGUCACAUCAGUCACAGAAUAAGGCCAGUAUUGUAAUCCCAGCAUGGGGAAGAAAGAGACAGAGGAUCCCUGAGCCAUACUGGACAGCCAGACUCACUUAGUUGUUGAGCUGCAGGUCCCUGAGAGACCCUGUCUUAAAAAACAAGAUGAACAGCACCUGAGGGAUGGAUGGCACAUGAGAUUGACUUCUGGCCUCCACACACGCAUGUACACCUGUGCACAUACAGCCCCUCACACAUAAGUGCAUCCCAAACACAAACAUAGACACACAGACACACAGACACACAGACACACAGACAGACAGACAGACAGACAGACAGACAGACACACACACACACACACACACACACACACACACACACACACACACCUGACUUCUAGAGGAGUCAUAGAGUGUGGAGAAUCCCCGAUUCUUACCACUGUUGUUGUUUGGACCUCAUCAACUGCUGUCUGGAUUCUGCAGCUCCCCCACUUUGUCCUUGUGCCCUAUGGGUCACAGGGAUUGUGCUAGCAAUUAAGUCUGAUCAUGUCAGGCCUCUGCCCAAACCCAUAGGUAGUUUGUCGUGUCAGAGCACAGGUCUUUACUGCCUGAGAGGACCAGUCAUCAGACUCCCCUUUGCUCACUCUGCUUGAGUGCACGGCCUUCAUACUGGCACCAUGCCCAGUUCUCCCCCUGCCUGCAUACUCUUUUGUUAUAGAUGUCCCCCCCUCUGACUCUGCUCAGAUGUUCCCUCUCAGUGUGUCCACCCACUGGGCAAACCAUCUAUGCCACUCUGCUUGCUUUUCCUUGCAGCCCAGUCACCACCUGACUUCCGGUGUUAUGAUUUGCUUUUUGCCUUUCUACUCCUAGGAGAGGAGACACUUGACUUUGUUUAUCUGCUUGGCUAGUCCUGUUGGAGAACAACAGCCUUGGGGGACAUUAGGAGCUAUUGGGGAUCCUGUCUCCCAAGCCAAAAAUUAUGAUAUGCUGUCUCGUAGAGAGAAAGGGUAUUCCCUUGUUUGUUUGUCUGUCUGUUUGGGAAGGCAUCCCUUUGUUUCACAGAAGGAUUUAAGACAGCUUACAAAGCGCUCAGCAAGAUGACAUAAAUUAGAAGCAGGUGGGAGGGGGGUGUCCUUGCAGGCUAACGCUAUAAAGUGGAGCCAAGGAUGGGACUAAUACAAAAUAAACAUCCCAUAAACUUUGAUCCAUUCAUGAGGGGUGGGCCACAAAUUUGGCUCUAAUAUUUCUUACUGCCAGUGCCAGGAUGUAACAUGAUCCUCCCCGUGACUCCCAGGAUCCUCAAGAUUAAAGCAGACCACCAGCUCAGGACAGACAGCCACAUUCCUGACGCCUGGAAAACGGAGCAGCAUCUCCCUGAUCCCACCCAGAGGGGACAGGGGAACUAUGGGGAGGGCUCACAGACAUCUCUGAGCUUGGCUUCUUAUGUUUCCCAGCCAAGCAUAGGGGAGUCCAUUGUCUGGGGGACCAAUGACAGGGUUUCAGUCCAGCCACACACAUGUUUUAGCAGGUGGUGGACAGUGUGGUCUAAAGAACCCUGGAGCUAUGCUUCUGGAAUGUCCUAGACCAAGCUUUGGGGGGUAGCAGGGGACCAAAGGGUCUCAUGAUCAAAACUUCAACUGAAGCUAUUCUAGGUGAUCCCAAGAACCCACAGACAUUGGGCUGAGGAAAGGUGGCCCUAGAAAGUUAUGUUUUCUAUCUGAGAAUGAACAGAUAUCUUCCUGGAAAUGAACAACUAGUGAAAUAAAACAUGGGUAGAUGUGUGUGUGUGCACAUUUGUGUGCACACAUGUAGACGCCAGAGGUCAAUGUCAGCCAUCUUCCUUGAUUGAUCCCUGUCUUAUUUUUAGUGUUUUGCUAUGUUCAUUUGAGACAGAGUCUCACUAUGUAGCCUUGGCAGGCCUGAAGCUUGUGUAGACCAGGUUGGUCUCAGACUCACAGAGACCCACCUUCCUUUGCCUCCCAAGAACUGAGAUUAGAGGUGUGUGCCACCACAUCUAACUUCCAUUUAAUUUUUGAGACACUGAACCUGGAGUUUACCAGUUGAUGGCUAGCCAGGAACUCCAGAGACCUUCCUGCCUUCACUUUUCCAGGACUGGGACUAAGACAAUUACCACCAAACCCAGGUUGUUUUGUUUUGUUUUGUUAGUGCUGGGGAUCCACACGACAGUCCUCAUAUUUGCUUACUAGGUGCUUUACUGACUGUACCCUCUUCCCGGGCUCAGCACAAUUGUUGCCUGGGAACAUUUUAGAGCAAACCCAGCCUAAAACCUAUCGUGUGUGUGUGUGUGUGUGUGUGUGUGUGUGUGUGUGUGUGUGUGUGUGUGUGUGUAAAGUCAUCUUCCUGUUCUUCCUUACAAGAUAAACCAUUUGUGAAACACACACCAAGUUAGCAAUGAGGAGGUCUGCAUGGAAUGAAGGACUGUCUAAGAGCUGAGUGACAGCUACCAACAAUGACAGCUAGCUGAGCGCCUGUUUGCUCUGAAGUCUCCUUUCUGGCAGUAAGUGAACAGUGAGAUCAGCUGUAUCCAGAGGUUCUGUACUGAAGCUGAAUUUCCCCAGAAAAUUCAGAUCGCAUGGCUGGAGCAGAGCUGGUUCCCAUCCCCACCCCUGAUAGGGAUCCCAGCUGUCUGCAUGUUUUCCUGGGUUGCUGAAAGUCUGGAGAUAAUGAAGUGCCCCUCCUCUGAGGUCCUGGCAAGGAAGGCAAAGCUUCUCUUCUUUCUCCUCCUUCUUAGCAGUUUGAGACUUUGUUUUACUUUAUAACCUAAGCUGUCCUAACGGCGGUCCUCCAUUCUACGUCAACACUCCCCCGCCCCCGUGUGUAACAUAUGUGCACAUGUGUGUGCAGGUGUCCAUGUCUGUGCAUAUGUGUAGAUGCCAUAGGAGUGCAUGGGGAGUCUUGUUCCAUCACAUUCUACUGGGGCAGGGUCUCUCCCUGAGCCUGAAGCUAGACUGAUGGCUAGGAAGUCCUGGCAAUUCUCCUGCCCUCUGCCUCUAACAGCACUGGCUUUCAGGAGCAUGCAUGGCCAUUGUCUACCUUUUUACAUGGCCCCUGGGGAUCACUUGGGUCCUCAUGUUUGCCCAGCAAGUGCUCUUACCUACUCAGACAUCUACCCAGGCCCCUAAACUCUUCUUGAGCCAUGAAAGCACAUGGCAGAGCCCACCAACACUGAGUACCUUCAAAGACCAAAGCAAUGAAAAGACCUUUGUGCCAUUCACCCUUCUUGCUGUCCACAGCUUCCUGGGCAUUGCAGACCCUUCUCAGCAGACCCGUCCACUUCCCAGCCCUCGUCCAUAGAAGCACAGUUCACCCUUGCACAAGCCCCUAGCCUCCUGGACCAGUCCCUCUGGCUGACCCCUGUCUCCUUCGUCUUACCCUCCAGCUUGCUCUUUAGGGUUAGUCAUAAUAACCCUCACAUCAGCAGAGCAGAAGAUCACCUUCCAUCUGCCUCACAACCACAAGAAGGUGGGUGGUGGGAGGCUAAUUAUCAUCUCAAUUUUACAAAUAAAUAAACAGGCUCAGAAUCGCCCAUGUUUUCCCACAAGCAUGCCUUAGUGAGUAUCCAGAAAGGAAGCACAGCUCUAUACUCCAAGCUCUGAACUGUGUUACACACUCCUAACCCUCCCAAAGCAGCCCCCUGAAAGCAGGAGGGAGUCAGCUGUAUUAGGGAACUUACAGAGCACAUAGUCUUAGGUAUGUGUGUAGAGACACAAAGCAAAAAGGAAGGGGCCCUCUGGUACCCUAUUAUGUUAUCAAGGAACCCAAGUGUCUCCAUUCACCUCUUCACUUUACAGGUGUAGAAACUGAGGCUCAGAGAGAAGGAAGGCUCAUGUGUUGAAUGCUCAGCCUAUUAGAAUUGGCCACCAGUACCUAGGUGAGGGUCAGGGUGACAAUCUCCCUCAGCCACACAAACCCCUGUCUGCCUCUCACCCUCCAUCUUCUGUCUGUCUACCCUUGGGGGAACACAGGACUGAGCACUGCUGUCUCUUGGACCCCAAUUUGGCAGCUGACCAUCUCUCUAAGUCCAAGAGUUUAUUAUCAGUCUUUACCACAAAGUGAGUGUUGACCAGUAUGAACUCCUGGGUCUAGAAUGCUAGGACUUCUCACUGGAGAUGUAAGCUGGGUCUGCAUGAGAUGGGAUCCCAUGGAGGGCAGUGUUUAUGGAGGUGCAUGUUGAAUUGCCAUGGGGGCAGGAAAAGCACCUUAAAGAAGGUGGAGAAGAGAGGCACCGAGGAGGCCCAGGAGACCCAGGCCAAGGAGGGGACUGAGGGCAUGGAAGGAUGGAGGUCCAAUUGUGCUCCAUGUGGCUGCAGCUCAGUCCAAGGCUUGUUGUCCAAAAUGGUCCAAUCCCUCCUUCCUCCAGAGAAGAACACAACCUGAAUGUUAACUUGACCUGACCCUGAGCAAUUUGUGCCAAACAAAUUUCCCUGCAGGAUCUCAUUGCUGCUCCACAGCCUAAUAUGCCAUUGGGAUUAAUGCUCCCUUUUUGCAGACAAGAAAACUGAGGCCAGAGAAGUAGGACCAGUGCAGAACUGCAACAGAAGCAGGCACUAAAGGGCCUGAACCAGUGCCUUCUCCACUGGAGAGAUCUUGUUCCUAGGACAUCAUUCAUUGGCUAGAUCCUCCAGCUCAGAGCUAAUGUGUAUAAAUGCUUGGGCCAUAGAGAGAGGCAUGAUAUCAAAAACUGCUUCCAGUUAGAAUUUUUGCAGCACCCAUUCUUUCCAGUUGCAUGUGAGUGUGCAUACGUGUGUGUGUGUGUGUGUGUGUGUGUGUGUGUGUGUGUGUGUGUGUGUGUGUACAGGAAUUGAAUCCAGGGCUUCGUGCACACUAGACAAGCACUGCAUCUGAGUUCCAUCUCCAGCCCUUGCUUCCAGUUAAGGAGUCAGCAGUGGUUCCGCCUCAGAUGUCAACAUUUCCUGCACAGUACUAAACUCAUUUAUAUAGUGAUUUUGAAAACUGCAUUUCACCCAUUAAACAAACACCUACUGGUUCUCCUAUACACCAGUCUCCUGAGCUGUCAUUUAGUUGGUUUUUUGUUUUGUUUUGUUUUUCAGGGUUUUGGGUGCUUGUGCAUCUGUUGUUGCAUCCUACUUGAGCAUCAUUGGAGUGUUUGGGGAGAAGUUUUCUAGCAGGCCUUGACCCAUCCAGAAAGCUAUGUCCACUGUGGGGCUCCAUCAGCACUCUGAGUGGAGACUGUGGGAGUCGAGGAGGAGGGAACACAAAAGAGUCAAAGAGAGCUGUAAAGUCAGGAGUAAUCGCUGGAGAAGUUCCUCUCCAGUCAUUAAAGAGGAUCUUAAUUAAGGUCCCUGAAAUAGAUACUCAAAACAAGCAGCUGUGGGAACCAGAUCCACAGGGGAUAGCACAACCGCCCAGAGGUGCUGGGUGUUAGCUGGCUCCUCACCUGUCAUUAGGGAGUGGGAAAUCGCCCCACAUCAAAGCCAGCCAGGAAGGAAUGUGACAAAUGCCAUUCACCUUUAAAACAGUGUUGAAAAUGAACACUAGAGCCUGCCAACCAUUGUGUGCGAAAACUCCUGGGGCAGAAGGACAAUCUCCAGAGAGUCAAGCAAGGUGUGUCCAGCCAGGAAGAAAAGUUAGAUGCCUAGAACUGGGAACUGAGUCCACCUUGCCUGCUUGACUUGGAUAGGCUUCUCCUGACCUUUGACCCCCCCAGUUUUUCUGGAACUGAGGCCCUAUCGGCCUACCACCCUACCACCUUCUCUGCCUUUCUGCUUUGGGUCCAAAGCAAUGUCAUAGUGACAGAGAAACUAAGGAGACAGAAACAGGAGGACUGAAAGAACCAAAUAGAUUUAGUUCUCAGACAGUUCAUAAAAUGUCUGAGCUAAAUCAGCUGUGAGAAGGCUCUCCUGAAAUACCAGUUUCUCAAAUACCUUUCCUUUAUCCUUCACCUUCAAAUCCAGCACAUGGAACCCAGCUUACAAACUUGGGUCCUUUGAGCAAGUUCAAGCUCUCAAGUUCAUUCUUUCAGAGCCAGUGCAGAUGAGGCCCCAUCCUCCAUCAUGGCUUUCAGCUCAGGAAGAUGCUGAGGGCCAGUGGAGCAGUAGAGCAGGCCCCUUUCACGGUCUCUGAAGAUACAUGGCAACCUUUUGCUGUCUCAUCCUGACCAGACAUCAGCCAUCACAGUGGGGAGGGGUAGGAGGAGUGAGGCCAGGGUGAGCCCAGCCAAACUUGGCCCUGCUUCAUAUUCACACCAGGAGCCAGAGAAGCUCUGGGAUUCAUGUGAACUAAAGUGGCCAGAGGGGGCUUCCAAGUGGAGACAGCAUGGAAGCUGGGCCUUGAGGAUGGACAGGAGUUGGCACAGAGAAAAGAAGGGACACCCUUUGCAAUGUCAGCUGUAUCUUUUCUGCCUUGGCCAGUUGCUGGGGGCAGGGGACACAGCUUAAAUGUCCUAACCAAAUGCAUAUUGAAAUCUAAUCUCUAUUGUGACUGUUAAGAGGCAGGGCCAGGUGGGGCCUUCACGAGGUGGUGAAGUCAUGAGGGCUCUGCCCUGGCUAACAGUUGGUUAAUCCACUCAUAGAUUAAUGGGCUAUGAAGGUAUAUCAAGAGUGGAUCUGUUAUAAUAGAAAGUGUGGUUCCAUCUCUUGGAUGAGUCCCUCUCUUCCCCAUGAUGCUCUGUGCUACUCCAGGACUUUACAGGUGUCCCUUCCACAACAAGAUCCUCAGAAGAUACAUUCUCCCAACCUUGGACCUCCCAGCCUCCACAACGACGAGCUGGAUGAGCCUCUAUUCUUUAGCCUUCAUCCAGUAAUUGAUGUACCCAGAUGCAGAGAUUCACAACCAAGCACCAGGCCAAACUCUAGGAAUCCAGUCGAAGAGAGGGAGGAGGGAAUACAUGAACAAGGGAGAUGAAGAUCACGAUGGAGCAAUCUCUAGAGACAGCUGAACCAAACUGGUGGACACUCAUAAAAUCCAGACCAGCAGUUGUGGAGCCUCCAAGGGACUGAAGUAGGCCCAUGGGAAAUGUAUAACUUGGUCUAUCCGAGGAUCACCCUGGCAGUAGGACCAGGAUCUAUCCCUGUUGCAUGAGCUUGCUUGGGGAAGCCCAUUCCCUAGGGUGGGAUGCCAUGCUCAGCCUUCAUGCAGGGGGAGGGGCUCGGUCCUGCCUCAACUUAAUGAGCCAGACUUUGUCAACUCCCCAGGGGAGCCCUUAUCUGUUGGAAGGAAUGGAUAGGGAGUGGGCUGCAGGGGAGGGUCAGAGGAGGGGUAGGAGAGAGAAUUUUGGUUGGAAUGUAAAAUGAAAUAAAAAAUAAAACAAUGGGAAAUAAAAAAGAGAAUAACUCAGCUAAAAGACAUCAUUAUAGUAUUUAUAACAACCAAACAAUAUUUGUAAAUAUAACAAUACUUAUAACAACUAAAAAUUAACUUAAGUUCUGAUGCAAAAUGACUCAUGGGUGGUUUUCACAGUACUCACUGGUGUAUCACUGCAGUCCUGACUCUGAACAGACUUGCAUGAACUUUCCGAGUGCAUACAACCAUUCCAGGCAAUGUUGAUAAGCGCUACCUCUAGAGCCAUGGCUCAAAGUCAAUACUACUGUCUGAGAACUGCCAUGCUUUUAUUGUGCCAAGGUUUCUGCUCUUAUAGAAGCAUAAUGACUUCAUUACAGAAAAUAAAGACCUUUGCUAUUUUUCUAGCAUCAUCCCUCAGCAUGUAUCAAAUCAGAGUACCUUUCUAUUUUAUUGUGGUAGGUGGAUAAUCUAUCUCAUUAGCAUAACAAUUUACUUUUUGUCCUUAAAAUGACAAAAUUAUAUGUAUAGCCAAAAAGUUGUCAAAUACAUUUCUUUAUGACUUUGAUCUGUUACCUGUUUACUAAGUGUUCCUGUGUGUGCACAAGUAGGCCAUAGGUCAACAACGUUGGGUAUCUUCCUCAACUGCUCUCCUCAUUUUUGAAGACAGGGUCUCUCACUGAACCUGGAGUUCACUGAGUUUGGCCAGGCAAGCUGGCCAGCAUAUCCCAGGGAACAUGUGCUGCUAUGCCCAACUUUAUUAACAUGGGUGCUAAGGAUUGACCUCAGCUCAUGGAGACUGCACAAAAAGUGUUUUACCAACUGAGUCAUCGCCCCAGCCUCCUAUAUGUCCUUAGACUUUAUUUGUUUUAUUUUAUGUGUAUGAAUGUUUUGUCUGCAUCUAUGUCUAAGCCUGCUGUCUAUGACAGUCAGAAGAGAGCACUGUAUGGCCUUGAACUGGUGUUUCAGAUAGUUGUGAGUCUCUCUACAAGAGUCCUCUACAAGAGCAACAAGUGUUCUUUGCUGCUGAGCCAUCACCCCAGCAUCUACCUACUCUAUGAACCAAUAUACCCAGUGUAAAAGUGCCAGGGAAAAGGGGGCAGUGAGUGAACAAAGCUUAAGAACUACUCUAUUGGAUGGGUCCAAGAAGCCAGGACCAUAGG